ACGAAGGGGGCUAGCGUUGCUCGGAAUCACUGGGCGUAAAGCGCACGUAGGCGGCUUUUUAAGUCAGGGGUGAAAUCCUGGAGCUCAACUCCAGAACUGCCUUUGAUACUGGGAAGCUUGAGUCCGGGAGAGGUGAGUGGAACUCCGAGUGUAGAGGUGAAAUUCGUAGAUAUUCGGAAGAACACCAGUGGCGAAGGCGACUCACUGGACAUGUAUUGACGCUGAGGUGCGAAAGCGUGGGGAGCAAACAGGA
rnacentral:rRNA from 1 species